UACGGGGGGGGCAAGCGUUGUUCGGAAUUACUGGGCGUAAAGGGUUCGUAGGUGGCUUGCUAAGUCAGACGUGAAAUCCCUCAGCUUAACUGGGGAACUGCGUCUGAUACUGGCGAGCUUGAGUGCAGGAGAGGAACGCGGAAUUCCAGGUGUAGCGGUGAAAUGCGUAGAUAUCGUGAGGAAGACCAGUGGCGAAGGCGGGUCUCUGGACAGUUCCUGACACUGAGGCACGAAGGCCAGGGGAGCAAACGGG
rnacentral:rRNA from 1 species